UGACGCGAUUCCAUCGGCAACCCGAAACCCAAAAGAAAAAAACAAACUAGUCGCACACCCCACCCGCUCGUCCCCAACCUCCACACAGGCUUCCUCCCGACGAAGUCUUACCCAAAUCCCCCGAUGGGAAUCCACCGCCGCCCUUCCCCGCUCCCCACCGGCAUGUCUCCGCCGUCCCCGUCGCCUCCCCGCCACACCACCCACCGUCGUCGCCCGUCCGCCGAUCUGAGGCUCGCGCGCUGCCGCUUGAAGGGCCGCGCCGCCGCCGAUUGGAGGUCUUCGCGCAGCCGCUCACCGCCGCCUCGAGGAUCCCCGCGCCGCCGACUUGAGGCUUGCGCGCUGCCGCCUGGAGGUCCUCGCGCGCGGCCGGCAGGAGGUCCUGUCUUCUUCCCCGAGGCCGGCAGGUCCCCUUCUCCACCCCUGACGACCUCCGCCGCCGCCUUCUCCUUGCCCGGAAACACCUGCAGCUGCCUCCCCCGGUUCCAGCAACCGCCGCCGCUGCUUCCCCCCGACUCCAGCAAGCCGCCGCCCCGGAAUCUGGCGCCUCCGCCUGGAGGGCAACCGCCACUCGCCGCUUGGAGGGGGUUGCGAGCUGCCGCCUAUGAGGCCGCCAUCUCGAGUGCUGGCGCGGCCUAGAUGGCUCGACGCCGCCAUCUGGGAGACUCCACGCGCCGGCCUCAGGCACAGCGCCCCCACCUGCCCGUUUUCGCUCGUGCCCCUGGCCGCUCAACGCCGUCCUUGAGGAUGAAGAUGCUCGUGGAACCACAUAGUCCACGACUUGUAGCAGAUGCAGAUUUUUUCUUCAUUGUUUUUUGCUUUUGUUUUUGUGAUUGGAGUUCUGACUCGUCAAUUCUUAGUGUUUUCUUCCCGCUUGUUUUCUUAGUGGUGAUUGUAACCUGAGAAACGCAUCUUAUGAGAAAGAAAAAGAGAUGGGACUCUGCCGAGAAGUACAAACGUCCUAGUAUUAGCACUACAAUUGCAUUGGCUUAGGCAGUACAAUUGCAUUAACCGUUCUUGCUAGGAUGUUCCUCGUUUACUUUUUUAACAGAGUUCAGUUGGGACGGCUGUGUUAUUUGAUAUGAGCAGUGCAGAUAGUCUAACAGAGCAGUACCUCUAACAUGAGUUAAUUAUCUACUAUCAAGCAACUGUGAUAUAGUUUCUGCUAUGAGACGUAUAACAUAUUUCUGAUUAAUGUAUUCAUGUGAAGAAAUGUGGAAGUAGUAAGGUCCUCUGUUAAGUGUUUUGCUUCAGAUUACCUGCGUAACUUCAGCAUUUUGAUGUGCCUUUUUGCAGUGUGUUUAGAUAGUCCCACUCCUGAUGAGCCGGAAGAAGGUACAUGACCCUGGCCCUCUAUCGUGUUGCCAAAAUUACCAACAAGAUAGAAUUUCUUGAUUCAGACUUAGCUUAUGUGCUCCUGUACAGAAGUCUGAACUCUGAACCUGAAUUUAAAACAUAGCUGUUUCAUACUCCAAUGCAUGCAGCAAACAUAUAUGCAUUAGUUCUUUCUGUAUUAUAGAGUGUUGUAUCCUUCAAUUCUGAGAUCUAGCUGGCAACUAGCUACACAUGUACUGUUGAUUUCUCUGUUCUGAAUGGAGCAACUUCUGUGCAGAUACACUUGCUGAAUAGAUAUACAUGCCAGGCUUUACACAAUUUCAUUGAUUCAGCAGGGCUGCAUUCCAGCGUCAGGUGACGUCAAUGAGAAGAAGACGACAUCCGGCGAAGCAACGUCCAUGUGGAGCAGCCGGUGGCAUCCGGCGAUGUCCGUGAGGAGCAGCCAGCGUUCGGCGACGUCCGUGUGGAGCAACCGACGUGUGGCGACGUCCGUGAGGAGCAGCCUGAGGGAAAGCCGACGUCCAACGCAUCAAUGAGAAGCAGGCGAACGUCUGGCGACGUCCAUGAGUAGCAGCCAGCGCCGGCGAUGUCCGUGAGGAAAAGCUGACGUCCUGCGACGUCAAGGAGAAGCAGACGAAUAUCCGUGAGGAACAACAUACAAGCAGACGGCAUCCAGCGACACGUUUAAUAUACUGUUACGCGUGUGGUCUUUCAUGUACGGAAGUAUUACUAGUGUGGAGCUGAUGGGUUUAAGUUGGUAGGCGGGUAGCCGCUAAACAAGAGCGUAUUAUACAGCCAAUUAGCCGUGUCCCGUUCAAUUCAAGCGGUACAAUGGGUCACUUGGUGGGCCACUGUGGACGUGACCACUUACACACCGACUUAGGAUGAUGUUCGCAAAACUUGAAUAAAAUUGUGCAUAGAAAGUUCAAUUGGAUA